rnacentral:rRNA from 1 species
AAACAUGUCUUUAUGAUUAAUAUUAAUAUAAAGUUUGGCCUGCUCAAUGAAUUAAAUUUUAAUAGCCGCAGUAUUUUAAUUGUGCAAAGGUAGCAUAAUCAUUUGUUUUUUAAUUGGGGACUGGUAUGAAUGGUUCCAUAAAAGUUUUACUGUCUUUUAAUAAUUAAAUAAAAAUUAAUUUAUAAGUUAAAAUUCUUAUAUUAUAUUAAUAGACAAGAAGACCCUAUUGAGCUUUAAUAUACUAUAUUUAUUAAUUAAAAUUGUUUUAAAUUUAUAAUUUUAAUUGGGGCGAUUAAGGAUUAAUAAAAGCUUCCUUGUAUUAAAUUUUGAUCCAUUAAUAAUGAUUAAUAGAAUUAGUUACCAUAGGGAUAACAGCAUAAUUUUUUUAAAGAGUUCUUAUCAUAAAAGAAGCUUGUGACCUCGAUGUUGGAUUAGAAUAUCUAAAAGAUGAAGUUAUCUUUUUAGUUAAAUUGUUCAUUUAUUAAAAUUCUACAUGAUCU